rnacentral:rRNA from 1 species
AUCUAUGGCUAUAACACAAUGAACAUAUUCAAUGUAGACUGAUGUCUGAUCUCUAAAGCUAAUCCUGGUGAGGUCUGGUUAGUACCUGGAUGGGAGACUGCUUGGGAAUACUAGGUGUAGUAGGUU